rnacentral:rRNA from 1 species
AACGAACGCUGGCGGCAGGCUUAACACAUGCAAGUCGAGCGCCCCGCAAGGGGAGCGGCAGACGGGUGAGUAACGCGUGGGAAUCUACCCAUCUCUACGGAAUAACUCAGGGAAACUUGUGCUAAUACCGUAUACGCCCUUUUGGGGAAAGAUUUAUCGGAGAUGGAUGAGCCCGCGUUGGAUUAGCUAGUUGGUGGGGU